ACUCAAAGGAAUAGACGGGGGCCCGCACAAGCGGUGGAGCAUGUGGUUUAAUUCGACGCAACGCGAAGAACCUUACCUGGGCUCGAACGGCUGCAGACAGGCUUUAGAAAUAGAGUCCUUCCCGCAAGGGACUGUAGUCGAGGUGCUGCAUGGCUGUCGUCAGCUCGUGUCGUGAGAUGUUGGGUUAAGUCCCGCAACGAGCGCAACCCUUGUCCUGUGUUGCAACUUACAGGCACUCUCAGGAGACCGCCAGCGAUAAGCUGGAGGAAGGUGGGGAUGACGUCAAGUCAUCAUGGCCUUUAUGUCCAGGGCUACACACGUGCUACAAUGGACGGUACAAACCGCUGCAAACUCGCGAGAGGGAGCUAAUCGGAAAAAACCGUUCUCAGUUCGGAUUGCAGGCUGCAACUCGCCUGCAUGAAGCUGGAAUCGCUAGUAAUGGUAUAUCAGAACGAUACCGUGAAUACGUUCCCGGGCCUUGCACACACCGCCCGU
rnacentral:rRNA from 1 species